UCCAUAUUUAGUAAGGCAGUUUGAUAUUCCUAAAUCUCAUGAGGAUUGUCGCUGGAAAUUGAGAGAGAAAUUUUAUAAGCAUGCUUGCGUCACGGAUCUCCGGGUUAUUGAUAUGUUAAUCAUAAAGUUUAUUCCAUCACGUGACACCGCCGCCAUAGUUAUUGUGGCGUUUUUCGUCUAGCACAGUUGCUCAUGCAAACCUAAACGAACUAGUAAAUUUGAAGUAUAUCGAUAUAAAAUGUAUUUUCAAGUGGAAAUUAUGAUUGGGGAAUUCGGUGAUCACGUUAAAUGUACAAAAUUGCUAACUUUACAAAGCCAUCUCAUAUCAAGGGAGAUAUUGUCUCUGCGAGUUCUUCGCAAAGUUCGAGUAGGAGUGAAGAGAAGAGAACCGGCACCAAAACAAAAACGAAAUAACCUCUUGCGCAGUAAUUCACGUGAUUCUUCUUGAGAUUCGGUUCAAAGGUUUAAGCAAUUGGUGAGUCACCUAAAUAAUACUUUUUACAAUUUAGCUGCGCCGUCUAGCAUGUUUUUAUGAAGUGACUGAAUCUAAUAAUGCAACACUUGUGAUUGAAACUGUGUACGUUAUAUUAUGCGAAAGAAAUACGUUGAUUUUCCUGCUUUUACUAAUUUAAUUACGGUUCUUAGAGGAUUCUUCAAAAUUGUCUCAUUUAACGAAGUUUUGCAGCCUUAGGGAGCG